UACGGAGGGUGCUAGCGUUGUUCGGAAUUACUGGGCGUAAAGGGCGCGUAGGCGGCCGUUUGCGUCGGAUGUGAAAGCCCGGGGCUCAACCUCGGAACGGCAUUCGAUACGGGACGGCUGGAGACCGGGAGAGGAGAGUGGAAUAGCCAGUGUAGAGGUGAAAUUCGUAGAUAUUGGCUGGAACACCGGUGGCGAAAGCGGCUCACUGGCCCGGUACUGACGCUCAGGUGCGAAAGCGUGGGGAGCAAACAGG
rnacentral:rRNA from 1 species